rnacentral:rRNA from 1 species
UACGUAGGGUGCGAGCGUUGUCCGGAAUCAUUGGGCGUAAAGCGCGCGUAGGUGGCUUCGUAAGUCCGUUGUGAAAGUCAAAGGCUCAACCUUUGAAAGCCGAUGGAUACUGCGGAGCUAGAGUACGGAAGAGGCGAGUGGAAUUCCUGGUGUAGCGGUGGAAUGCGCAGAUAUCAGGAGGAACACCAAUAGCGAAGGCAGCUCGCUGGGACGUUACUGACACUGAGGCGCGAAAGCGUGGGGAGCGAACAGGG